UCUGAAGUUUCCUGGAUCCCCAAUAAACAUUACUCUGGGAUUUAUGGUCUGAUGAAGCUUGUCCUGACCAAGACUCUUCCUGCCAACCUGGAGAGAGUCAUCGUCCUUGACACGGAUAUCACCUUUGCCACUGACAUUGCAGAGCUGUGGGCUGUGUUCCACAAGUUCAAAGAUGAGAAUGGUGGUCGUAUGUACUAGACUCCCACAUUUUCCUUUGGGAAUAAAGGCCUUAUUACGCCAGCUGCUGGGAGCAGUCCCUGCAGCGGGGGCUCUCAGAAAAGGCAUCAGCCCUUUUUGCAGUUGCCUCUGUUGAAGUGAGUGGCCAUGCCUGUGGCCACACCCCUUCCUGGGACGCCCCACAUCACGGAAUGGCUGAUGAACAUGAGGUCCUGCGGGAUCAUCUGCCACACUCGGAUACUGCCUCACAGGCUGAUUUUCCCCUCUGCCUAGUCCUGCUUUCUCCCCUUCCCUUUCAUAGGUGCUGUUCUCAAGAGCUCUCUCUAAUAAACCUCUUGUAUGCUGA
rnacentral:sRNA from 1 species